CCUACGGGAGGCAGCAGUGGGGAAUAUUGCGCAAUGGGCGAAAGCCUGACGCAGCGACGCCGCGUGAGGGAUGAAGGUCUUCGGAUCGGAAACCUCUGUCAGCAGAGAAGAAAGGUCACUAUGCUAAUCAGCAGUGAAUUGACGGUACCUGCAAAGGAAGCACCCGCUAACUCCGUGCCAGCAACCGCGGUAAUACUGAGGGUGCGAGCUUUCAUCGGAAUUACUAGGCGUAAAGCGCUCUUAGGCGGUAGGUCAAAGCAAGGGUGAAAGCACCGUGGUUAACGUGGGAACUGCCUUUGAAACUGGCAAAAGGGAGUGUUUGAGAGGAUAGCGGAAUUGCAGGUGGAGGAGGGAA
rnacentral:rRNA from 1 species